AGUGAACGCUGGCGGUAGGCCUAACACAUGCAAGUCGAACGGCAGCACAGUAAGAGCUUGCUCUUACGGGUGGCGAGUGGCGGACGGGUGAGGAAUACAUCAGAAUCUACUUUUUCGUGGGGGAUAACGUAGGGAAACUUACGCUAAUACCGCAUACGACCUACGGGUGAAAGCAGGGGAUCUUCGGACCUUGCGCGAUUGAAUGAGCCGAUGUCGGAUUAGCUAGUUGGCGGGGUAAAGGCCCACCAAGGCGACGAUCCGUAGCUGGUCUGAGAGGAUGAUCAGCCACACUGGAACUGAGACACGGUCCAGACUCCUACGGGAGGCAGCAGUGGGGAAUAUUGGACAAUGGGCGCAAGCCUGAUCCAGCCAUACCGCGUGGGUGAAGAAGGCCUUCGGGUUGUAAAGCCCUUUUGUUGGGAAAGAAAAGCAGCAGGUUAAUACCCCGCUGUUCUGACGGUGCCCAAAGAAUAAGCACCGGCUAACUUCGUG
rnacentral:rRNA from 1 species